CCGAAGAAACGCCGAAGACACACAAAACAUUCCCAGAAGGACAGGUAUCGAGUACAGUCACGGUUCCGUGCAGCGCUCCUCGCUGUUCGGAAGGUUGCAUUCCGAUUCUUUCUGCAACGGCAGCAGCAGCAACUACCAGCCAAAAUCUUCUCUUCAAUGCACAAUCGAGUGUGUAUCCGCAAAAUCCGCUGAUUGAAUUUGACGGUGUCCACGGCGGUACGCAACGGAAUGCUGGGUGUGUGCUGCGCGCGCGUGUGUGUGAACGUGUUCCGCCGGAGUAUGGUGCAAAGUGCGGCUGCCCGAAUCACACGUCUGGAAGCUGUGGAUGGAUGUCAACUGAAAAAAUGGAAAUGAUACCCCAACGAGCAGCUAGCUAGCACAGCCCCACACGACUGACCGUACGUACGUGACAGACAACUGGCGCUAGGGGUGGUUAGAUCGUCGUCCUGGUUUGCUGCAGCAGCGCACAAUCGUGCUCGUUGUGAAACGGCAGCACCGCUAUUAUCAACACACACACACACACCCAGCAUCCCCUAUACGUGCCGUAAUCCAGCGAGAUGCCAUCGGGAUCAUCAAUUCUCUCGUUCGGGAGCAAGAAGAGCACACGGCCAGCAUCGGCAGCAGUGAAAGAGAAGAGAACUUGUUGUGCUGCGCGCACAGUACAGUAUCCGGUACGGUGGGGGCCGUUUUUCUGCCUGCAGGAACGCUCGAGGGAUUUAAAUGAAUUCUCGUCCCACACUUCUGCUUGGAGCCGAUGAUGAUCAUCAUGACCGCGACUGCAGAGCUUAUCUAGCGUGCGUACAUCACAAACCGCGCGGUACCAGCGUUCGCUGUAUGGAGUAUGGAUUACGCAAACGUUCACAAGCAUGCUUCCUGCUGGCACAUUCAAACAGUCAGUACGCUGCUGUGGUGGAUCUUUUCGAGUUUUGAGUGUCAUAUUUUUGUGUACGUGAGUUGCUUAGCCUUUUCGAUAACCUUCAAUGUGCGGCGGUGAAUUCAUUUUGGGGUUUUUUGGGUGGGUAUGGCAUGGUUUCCGGGCUGCUGCGGAAUGGCCGUCUUUCCAAGGCGAAUGACGGAUUGGAGCAUUAUGAUGUUCUACAGAUGUGUGUUGUAAUAUGUUUCGCUGCGGGUAUAUUGGUGAACGUUUGAAUACUGCGCGACCGUGUUUUACUAUCAACAGUUUUGCUGUGUUCGAUGUGUCCUGCCUGUUGCACGUUUCUUCUCUAUCAUUACAAUUUUUUCUUCCUCCUCGACAAGUUCGUCGUGUCGGGCGGCUUCUCUUCUCUCACAAAUACUAUUUUGUCUAGUUUCCAGUCGCGCCACAGUGGAGCGGAAGCUUUUCUUCUGUGGGCUUUUUGUAACGAGCGCUAGCUGGUAGAGGCCGACGAUUAUUCGAUCAAGCUUGUGAUAGGACGGCCAAAGUCUGGUUUUAUUAGUUCGUGAAUGAACAUUAGCCAGUCGACACAACGGUUGGCGGUCGCAGUGGAGAGAAGCGUUAGUUUCCCAGUCCGCUCCGUCAGGGGGACAUGUGGGGAAGGACCAUAAACGAUUGAUCUCUGUUGCAAGGCGAUCGAGGCGAUUGAGCAGUGUUGUUAGAAUACAAAGUGCGAAGCAGAAAAACUAUCCCGCUAGCUGGCAGGGCAAGAACAGAAGGUAAGGCCUAGAUAAAUGGAAGCGAGAUUCGUCCAUUUGCGAUCGCGCAUAUCGAAUGGGAUGAAGAAGAGGUGGUGCAACAUUCCAAAAACGUCCGUUGCUUGUGCACCGGCUGAAUCAAACGAGUCACACCGGAGAGUAAUCCAAACGGUGCAGGUCCGCUAACCCGAAUGGGUGGCCGCUGGACGGCGACGGGGACCCCCUAGUGUUCAGCAGCCGUUCGUAGAACUCCGGUUUUCGGGUUCAUCUACCGGGCUAGACAAACGGUGUGCUGAACGGGGGAAAUGGGGAAUUCUUGACGAAGUGGAAUGAAUGUUCGAGUGUCCAAAGAAAAAAAAAAAAUGAUCAACAGCUGCCACCCUAGCUGUGUUGUGAAGCAGGAAGCAACACAUAGACAGCAUACGAUGAAAGAAACACACAGAUAGAAGUCGUGAAUGGGUGGUUAUCACCACCGUUUUGGACAAUCUUGAAGCGGAUGAAAAAAAGGGGGCAAAAAACCGCCGUGUUCGUGUUUAUUUCCCUCCGCGCCCAUCGCUAUCUGUGGCAUCAUUAUCAUCGUUAUUAUCAGAUUUACGGUGGUCCGUUGUAGCGGCGCUGGCUGACAGCUCCUCGGGUGGACUCAAUUUCGGGCACUAGGGAAAGAUUAGCGAGCACAAGUCGCUCAAGUCGGCAGCAACUAUCGCCAGCCCCCCCAUAGUACCGGCGGUACAUAACUGAAAGUCAUUCAUAAAAGUCAUCGAGAGUCAUCGGUGUACGCCGGGGAGUUGGGUUGGCUAGUUCAAGUUGAUUACAGUCAAACAGGGAAGGAUCGCUGGCAUAUGGGCAGAGAGACUGGAAAGCCGUGAGGAGGGGGGGUUCAAAGUGGGCGCCCCCGUUUUCGAGCGAUAUUGGAAAAGAAAGUUGCUACGGCGUUCGGUCUUACUCGGAGGCAUGCGAAACAGACGGAACGAAAAAAGUGCUUCCCUUCUCCAUUCUUUUCCCCCCUAUCGCUCAUCGAGGAAUGCCAGAGUAUGGUAGAUGUUAGUGGUAGCGGUGGCAGUAUUAGCUUAUUUAGAGCGGGAUAUACCGUGUUCACGCUUGGAACGCCAAUGCCGGAUGUUUACUCUACGAUGGUGGUGAUCGAUGCAAUGAAGAGAGUAGUAAAGGGCAGCACCAAGGGAAAGUUGACGCAAACGAUGGAAACAACAUCUGUAAGUAAGUAGUGUCCAGAGUCCGGUUAAAGUCGGUGCCACUCGGCGAACGACGUGGUCUGAGCUGCUGAAACCAAGUAGAAAUCGUCGGCAGAGUAGAAGAAGGGGUAACCCACACACACACACGCACAUACAGGAGGGGACAGACGACAAACACGAACCACAUCCCUUCCAUCUCUUGUGGAUGUGUUUUCAUUCACAGAUUUCUGUUCCAAAUUGAAGAAAACGAUCCGUACGUAUGAAGUCGGGGAAAGAAGGUAGCUUGGUGGAGCUGAGGAUCAGCCGAUUAUCGCUGGUAUGCGAGGCACAGGGCCCCUAUUGGGGAGGUCGAAAUCCAUUUGUACGUGUGUGUGCGUGCACGGACGGACGGACAUAACCCCUUUUGCUUUCCGGAACACAGGACAUCUGCACCCUUUUUCUGAGCGAUCCAGGGCCACCAAGCGAAUUGAGAGGCCCUUGGUGUCACAUGCUCGCUCCACGUGUACAAGCAUGGUCGACUUCCUAUUUUAACGAUUCGCGUGAAAGCGUGAAGUGGCUCCCAUCGCUACAAAUACGAUUUUGUGUGAGAGGAAUUUCCCAAAAGGUGCGUUUGCCAGAAAAAAAAAAUCCUGCUUCACAGCUUAUACCCGAAAUCGUAAUUUUGACACAUUUUUAACGAGAAAAUUUCCCCCACUUCACCCUUAGAGUGAGAUAAUCCAACCGCGGUUCCUAGCCACACAGAGUCGUCGGAAAAGAUCAUCCCGGUGGUGAUAUAAAAGCAUAAAUCGGACGAUAAUUGUCCGUCGAUUACAAUUUUAAUUUACACAUCAUCAUAGCUUGGAACGCGCGCUUAGCCUCCGACGCAGCUCGAAUGGAACCGAAUUGUUGUGCGUCCUUGCAAACGUUCCAAGAAGGAGAAGGGAAAAGCGUAUAGAUAUCUGUUCCAGCGGUAAAACACCAGCUAAAUAUCAUUCGCGUUCGGGGGAUUGGGAUUGGGUGUGUGUGCGGCUACACCUUUCGGGAGGGUGGCUCGUAAGCAAGGCGCGACCCUUCGACAUCGGGCGCGCACUCAUGCUUUCAAUUUCUUUAACAGACGACGCGGUGGUGCGCGCUAAUUAAUGGUUCAAUUUGUUGUAGCGCUCACUGCUGCUGUUGUGCGGUCAGUCACUGUGACUUGUGUUUUAUAAUAUUGUAUUUGCUUAUUUAUUUGUACACGGCUAAUUUUUCUGCUCUGCUUUCAGCUGCUAACUCUAAGCAAGAAAUUUCCAGCGCUGCGUUUGGACCAGCGCCGUACCAGCAGUGCGAUCAGCAGCAGCAGCAGCAGCAGCUCCCCACACAUCCGGAUGCUUUUAUGCUCAAACGUGCUGGGAAGCGAAUUUCUUCAUCAAUUAGCCUGUCAGCUACGGCCAUUGCUGGGGCGCGACGGGGUAGUUGUUGGGGGGGGGGGGGGCACAUUCCAUUCACGCGGCCACACAGGAGGGGAAGAUGAUCAUAGCCGCGCGAAUCCCCGCUGCUCCGCUUUGUACAAUCCGUGUCUGCUCAAGCAAACCUUUUCUUCCCCCUACAGAUAUGCCUUCACCUAUUAGCGGAGAUGUGUGUGUGUGUGUGUGUUUUCGUGCAAAAAAUGGAGGCCCUCCAAAUCGAUUCGGCAGUUCGUCGACCGCCGCAUUGCGCAUUCCAUUGCCGGCCGUGGCAUGGGGCCCCGCAAGGGCAAUGCAAUGCUGGGCGAGAGAGGGUGCUUGUGUGUGACGAGGCGCGAGAGAUAAAACCAGUCGGUGUCCUGUUGUGUGUGUUCCAUUCCAUUCGUGGUCCAGACAGGUAGCUUUCUUUUGGAAUCUCUUUCUUCUCGUCUUCAGCAGCAGUGGCAGAAGAAGCGCUUCCAAUCGCUCACCCCGAUCAUCGGAAGGAGCAUCAAUUUCGGCGAUUGCAGGCAGGCAGGCAGGCAGACUGGAGAAUCCCGCGAGGAUACCCCAUAGCCGGGCGGUAUCUGACGGAUACCGCCGCCGUGAUUGAAGUGAUCAUCUGAAAGUGAGGGACCAAGAGCAGCGCUUUCGUGUUGCGGUCUGUCGUGUGCUUUUCCGGGGCUAGGGUCGGUGGAAUCGUCGUGCCGGAACGGGGUACCGAAAUGUAAUCACAGAACCGGUUUUCAUUUUCGAUCUGACUUAUUUUUUUCUCAAACGAGUGAGAUCACUUUGAAAGCUGAUUUUGUACAACUAACUCAACGAGACACCCUGUACGAACCACCCACCCCGGCACACUGGCUGCGGCGACGGCGAAAAUGUGUCAAAUUUUUGUGUAGUGAAGUUUAUUUUUAUUUAUUUAUUUUAAGUGUGUAGUGAAAUGUUGGUGGAAAAUUAUGAAGAGAAUAUAUUUAUGAAACAUAUGAAA